GCUUCUUCUUGUUGUGAGGUGUUGCUUUUGGAGAGAGAACGAGUCAGUUCGAACACCUCUAUAGGGUUAGGGUUAGGGUACAGGGUUAGCAUAUAGGGUCAGGGUACUGGGUUAGCAUAUAGGGUCAGGGUACAGGGUUAGCAUAUAGGGUCAGGGUACUGGGUUAGCAUAUAGGGUCAGGGUACUGGGUUAGCAUAUAGGGUCAGGGUACUGGGUUAGCAUAUAGGGUCAGGGUACUGGGUUAGCAUAUAGGGUCAGGGUACAGAGUUAGCAUAUAGGGUCAGGGUACUGGGUUUGCAUAUAGGGU